rnacentral:lncRNA from 1 species
AAACUGCAAUAUUUAAUUUAGUUAUUUUUAAAUGUUUAAUCUGGGGCACCUGAGUGCUCAGUCAGUUAAGCAUCUGCCUUUGGCUCAGGUCAUAAUCCUGGGGUCCUGGGAUUGAGCCUUGCAUAGAGCUCUCUGCUCACCCACUUCUCCCUCUCCCACUCCCCCUGCUUGUGUUCUCAUUCUCUCUGUCAAAUAAAUAAAUAAAUAAAAUAUUUAAAAUGCAUAAAUUUUUGACUCUAUAACACCCAAUUAAAGGGGAACAAAAAGACAUAUAUUGAUCUGAGGCAAAUGCUCAGACUUAAGGAAAAAGCUUUUUAUCAUUUUAAGAAUUAAAAUUAUUAAAUGACAUUAAGUUUAUAAUUAUGGUCUAUUAGAAUACAAAUAUUUUAUUAACUGGUUGUGUAUGAGAUACUUAUAUUGUUUUCAGUUCAACAUCUUUUUUGGGAACAUAAAAUCAAAUAACAUCUACAAACAACAUAGUUUUAAUAAAAUGGAAAAUCAUCAUCAUCACUUUUUAGUUCUUUUGGAAGUAACUGCAUUGUAAAGAACAUUGUAAUUGUUCCAGAAAAGAGAUCAAUUUUUCAUUUUUUGGGAUGCCUGGGAGGCUUAGCAGUUGGGUGCCUGCCUUUGGCUCAGGGCGUGAUCCUGGAGUCCCGGCAUCGAGUCCCACAUCCAGUUCCCUGCACAGAGCCUGCUUCUCCCUCUGCCUGUGACUCUGCCUCUCUCUCUGUGUCCCUCAUGAAUAAAUACAUAAAAUCUUUAAAAUUUUUUUCAUUUUUCUUUAGAGAAUAAAAGAGAGAGAGAAUAUUCCACGGCUAAUCAUUACAGCACAGAUAAUACUGAAAGUUUGGGUAAUCACAACUAUGAUUUCCUAUUUUGAUAUUGUGGUGACUUAUUAAAAAAAAAAAAAAAAGAAAGAAAGACAUUUUUGCUGAGCUCCCCUUAUUACCAGACACUAUAUUCAAUAAUUUAUAUUGUCUCAUUUAUAAGCCUUCCAACACGCAUAAGGGAAAAGUAUUAUCUUCAUCUUGCUAACUGGGAAACUGUUGUUUAAAAUGGUUAAAUAAGUUCCACAAAUUCAGCAAAGGAAUGAAAGCUACAAUUUAGUUCUGCCCUUUACAGAGUUGGUCACUAAAUCAGUUCUUCAGCUUUUUCUUUUCUAUGUAAGAUAAACUAGUUCCUUCAAUCAUUCCUUGUUUGAUAGAACAAUAAAACAUCAUUUAUCCCACCCUCCAUAUCCUCUCUAAAUUCUUUUUUUUUUUUCAAGUAGGCUCCAUGCCCAGUGAGAUCAAGAUCAGAGCUGAUAUCAAAACCAGAGUUCAGACCAAGAGCUGGAUGCUUAACCGACUGAGCCAUCCAGGUGCCCCUAAAUUCUUUAUGAUCCAUUUUUGGAAUACCAAAAUAAAACUCAUCAAAACUCUGAAAGGAUGCUAAAUAUGUUAAAAAUUCUAGAUAGUAACAAGGAAAAUUUGGCCACUGACAGCUUUAACAGGAAUUCUUGACACCUAAUUCCACUUUGGGGAUGAGGAUAUGGGAAUUAAGAGUAAAUAUGGAGGAAAGAAAUUUGUGUCUAUAUUGCAUAUCAUUCUUGAUUAAGAAAUUUAGAAACAGAAAUGGGUCAUCAGCAAGAUAUUUUACUCUAACCACACAAUAGCAGUUAUGGCCACAAAGGGAUGUUCAUAAAAAUAGACUUUCUUUAAAGGCAGUAUACCUCUGGGACAGAAGCUAUUUCCUCACAGUUUUAACAGGAACUGAGACCAUUAUAAAGCAUUAGAAGGUUGGGUUUUGGUACAUUAAACAAGCAACUGGAAUCACUUAUUUUCAGACAGAGGUUUCAUUAACCUGUUAAUGUUUAUUCAUGCCAAUACUUAACAGACCAAAAAUAGCUAAAAUCUACCGAGACCAAUAUUUUUCAAGCAGCAUCAACACCUUCACUUUUAAGAAGUAGGUAUAAAGUUUCUUUGGCCCGUUUCAGACCACUAAAGUCAUCUUUCCCCCAAUCAUCUAUCUCUUUAGUCUCAAUGCAUUCAUUUAAUCUCUCUCUUUCCCUCUUCCUUGGUUUUAAAUCAUUUUUAUUAAAUUUUUUGAAAAUUUACAUAACAAUAACAGCUAACAUAGCAAAUACUUAUAUUGUCAGAGGGGCUAUGCUAAGUCCUGUAUGUACAUUAUCUCUCUUAAAACUCACAAAACUGGGCAGCCCUGGUGGCUCAGCGGUUUAGCGCUGCCUUUGGCCCAGGGUGUGACCCUGGAGACGCAGGAUCUAGUCUCAGGUCAGGCUCCCUGUGAGGAGCCUGUUUCUCCCUCUGCCUGUGUCUCUGUCUGUCUCUCUCUCUCUCUUUCUGUCUCUCUGUCUCCCAUGAAUAAAUAAAUAAAAUCUUAAAAAAAAAAAAAACUCACAAAACCACAUGACACAGUCACUGCUUUCUCCCCUGGCUUGUAAUGGUUGAACAGCUUCAUUACUCUGAGAGUGUCAGAACUGAGCUUUGAACUCACUUGAGAGCCUGCAUACCUCAUCGUUAAAUUAUAUUACCUUGCCUUAAAACUAUACCUUUGGAAGCAACAUUUCCAACUAAGUCAUAACCAAUUUCUGACAAAGGCUUAUGGUAAUUAUAUAUAUAUAUAUAUAUAUAUAUAUUUUGCAGUGAUUCAGAAACCAGAAAACUUCUCAUUAAAUACUGGUUUGGUUUUGGUUUUUCAGUUUCUUUAGACAAUUUUUCAAAUAGAAUCAAGUCAGUGAGAAAAUAAUGUAACACUAAAACUGGAACAAAAGAUAGGAAGCAAUUAGUGAGCAGCUUUGCAAAUAUUAACUCUUCACUGGCAAAGACUGUGUCUUAUUUAAGUGUGGUAUCUCUGAAUAGAACACUUGGCUCACAGAAAAUGUGAGUUAAAUGAAUCAUGUAAACAAUAACUUGAACUUUGAAAAUUUGUACUAGAUUUUCAUAUAUUUAGAUUCUUAGUUUUAGAUCCUCAAAGAAAAAAAAAAAAAACAGAUAAACCACAAACAAUCCUGUGUUCAUUUCAGGCUUUGUUCAAAUUCUUCAUGUUUGAAAAUUCAGAAUGUUUAAUUCUAGAAUUUCUUUCAGAUUAAUUAGAAAUAAAAUGUAUCAAAAUAUGUGUGCUAGUUCUAAAGCCUAAAAAUUAAUUUAUUUAUAAUGUUUAUAGUUCAUAGUAAAAAAAAAAUGAUAAUGCUCUUUAUAUGAAAUCAUUGCAAGCUGUACUGGAGAACCCUGCUAAUUACACCUUACUACCCCUACCACUACUGAGAUCAAUAUUUUGACUCUACAGUUUCAAAGAAGUAAGAAUUUAAACAUAUGGAAAAUAUAUGUAUACUUUGCCAUUUGAAAAAAAUUGUCAUACACUUGAAAAAUUAGCUGUCCUCUCCCAUCAAAUGCCUUUUUCCUACACUGGGUCUCAGGUGAAUGAGAAAACCAGAUGGGACCAUGAUAGAGUAGCUUUACUUGUAUCACAACUUUGAUAUGCAAAUUUCUAUUCUAAAAGAAUGAGAAAUGAACUGACCAGCAGAUACUCUCAUUUGUCUUUAUGAAUAACUGAAUUGUAUAACUCUUUAGCAGAGAAAAUGAGAUAUUUCUCUACUUGAGGAUUUUUAUCUAAAUGAAUAUAAGUAGAAAAUAACUUUAAGAGAAACACUAUAAAAAAAGUUCUUAAAAGCCCUAAGAAUUUACUUCCAAAGAAUAUAUAAUCUAAAACUAAAAAAUACAUUUUCUCUGACAAUAGUUUUUAGUUCUGCUUUAUUAUAUCUAACAUUUCACUAAAUUAAUAUAUAUAGUAAUAAUACAAGAACACAAAAAAACAGGUUCAGAAGGUGAAAUUAUAAAAAUAAGUAAUAUAAGAAUAAAGUCUUUGAAAUCUAAACAGGGUUCUGAUUAUGAGGAAUUCCUUGUGGGAAAGAAAGAAAAAUUUGAAAAAAAAAAAAAAGAAGUAAAGGCAAAACAAUAAAAUUAUAGUGUAAAUUAAAACGUAAAAUAUUUAAUAUGUAAAUUAGAAAUUAAGUUACAAAAGUAACUUAUAUAAACAUUUUAUAUAACUUAAUCUUACAAAACGUGACAGUAUGAAUAACUACAAGUCAAAUAAUAGAAAAUGAAAGAAAGUAAAGAACUUUUACAUAUAAACAUUUUAGGUAAGAUAUAUACUUUAAAGCCUAUUAAGCUGUAAAAUGCUACUGUAAUGUAAUGUUAAAUGGGAAUUAUCCCAUGGCCAGAAAUUCCAUGGGAUUCCAAGAGCCAACUGGAAUUUCAUCAUUGCUAGGAAUCUCUAUAGUCUUAGCUCACAA